rnacentral:rRNA from 1 species
UACGAAGGGUGCAAGCGUUACUCGGAGUUACUGGGCGUAAAGCGUGCGUAGGUGGUUUGUUAAGUCUGUUGUGAAAGCCCCGGGCUCAACCUGGGAAUGGCAAUGGAUACUGGCAAGCUAGAGUGCGGUAGAGGGUAGUGGAAUUCCCGGUGUAGCGGUGAAAUGCGUAGAGAUCGGGAGGAACACCAGUGGCGAAGGCGGCUACCUGGACCAGCACUGACACUGAGGCACGAAAGCGUGGGGAGCAAACAGG